CCUCUUUUGUCAGAAGUGAUAAAUCAGAGUGUAUUUUUUCAUUGAUAUCUUAAUUUUCAUCUCUAAUUAUAACUUAGAAAAGACUUUGGGAGGAGAUCAAACCAAGGAAAAGUUUACUUUUAUAUAUUUGAGACGGAGAGAUUAAUCUCCAGGAAAAUUAGAGGACAGCCAUCCUUGUUUAUCCUGUAUGCUUUUAGUCUAUGUUGCAUUUCAACCAUCACCAGAGGUGCUAAUAAUAUUAAGGUCAAAAUGUCAGAACACAUAAAUUGUCACAACAAAACAGUAAAUUGUUUACUUUAAAGAACAUAAAGUCAUAAAGUUUUUAACAGUUUUCUAACUGCCCAGAUGUAUGACUGAACUCUUCUUUCCAAAUUCUUAUUGCAGAAGGAUACCCAUAUAGGAUUGUGGACAAGGAUUAUGCCUCUCUCUAGAAAUGUGAGACGAUACAAAAACUGGCUCUUUAUCAAGCUCUCAGAAUUCCCUCUGUUGGGAAUUUCUUGUCUCAAGAAGGAGGAGAACAAGCAUAGCAGCUGUGGCAGGACCUGAGCUCCAGGCCAGAAGGCUCCUAAGGUCCCCCUGGAGAGCAGCAAGGAUCUCUGGAUCUGUGCUUUCAACAAGGACUACUGCAAAGGUGACACUCAAUUUCUACAGCAGAGGCAAGCAGAUGGCUCUUCAUGGCUCCCCACUGACCAGGCCACAGAGUGGCCUUGAUGGCAGCCAGUUGCCUGCCCUCUCAGGGUGAGACAUAUGAAUACAGCUGCUCUUUGGGGAGAGAACUGGACAAGAAAGGAAGAAAAAUGACUGUCUAGAGGAGAAAAAGUGAAGCAGGAAAGAGGAGGC